UACAGAGGGUGCGAGCGUUAAUCGGAAUUACUGGGCGUAAAGCGCACGUAGGUGGCGACGUAAGUCGGGUGUGAAAGCCCCGGGCUCAACCUGGGAAUUGCAUUCGAGACUGCAUUGCUGGAGUACGGAAGAGGAGGGCGGAAUUCCCGGUGUAGCGGUGAGAUGCGUAGAUAUCGGGAGGAACAUCAGUGGCGAAGGCGGCCCUCUGGUCCAGUACUGACACUCAAGUGCGAAAGCGUGGGGAGCAAACAGG
rnacentral:rRNA from 1 species